rnacentral:pre_miRNA from 12 species
AAGUCAUCGUUUGUUUGGUAACUUGCCAGUAGCGAGGUAUAGAGUUCCUACGUGGUAUUUGUAAUAGUAGGAACUUCAUACCGUGCUCUUGGAAGUGCCAUUACCACCGACCUCGUCAU